rnacentral:rRNA from 1 species
UACGGAGGGUGCGAGCGUUGUCCGGAAUCACUGGGCGUAAAGGGCGCGUAGGUGGCGCGGGAAGUCAACGGUGAAAGUUCGGGGCUCAACCCUGAAUCGGCCGUCGAUACUCCCGGGCUCGAGCACUGUAGAGGCAGAUGGAAUUCCGGGGUGUAGCGGUGGAAUGCGUAGAGAUCCGGAAGAACACCGGUGGCGAAGGCGGUCUGCUGGGCAGUUGCUGACACUGAGGCGCGACAGCGUGGGGAGCAAACAGGG